UCUCUUUGCCAUGGGAGUGGAGACGGUCGAGCAAUGGCCGCCAAGCUCCUGCCGGCGACAGCAAGCCCGCCGCCGCGCCGCGGCCUCCGGCGCGAGACGGCGGAGGUGGUGCGCGACUGCAAGAGACUGGACGGGCUCAUGAAGGCCGGCAGGGUGGCGGACGCCCUGGACUUGUUCGACCGGAUGCCGCGCAAGAACGUCGUGGCGUGGACCUCGGCCGUGUCCGGGCUGGCACGCAACGGCCGCCCGGAGGCCGCGGUUGAGAUGUUCGCGGGCAUGGUGGAGUCCGGCGUCGCGCCGAACGACUUCGCCUGCAACGCGGCGCUGGCGGCGUGCGCGGCCGCGGGCCCGGGCGCGCUCCUCGCCGGGGAGCAGCUGCACUCGCUCGCCGUGCGUGCGGGGCUCGCCGGGGACGCGUGGGUCGGGAGCUGCCUGGUCGAGCUCUACGCACGGUGCGGCUCCACGCGCGCGGCCGAGGCCGUGCUGGCCCGGAUGGAGUCGCCGGACGUCGUGGCGUACACCUCGCUCGUCUCGGCGCUCUGCCGGGGCGGCGAGUUCGGGAUGGCGGUGGAGGCGCUCGGCAAGAUGGUGGUGCGGGGAGUGGAGCCGAACGAGCACACGGUGACGAGCAUCCUGGCGGCGGCGUGCUGCCCGCUGGUUCUCGGCCUGCAGAUACAUGGCUACAUGAUCAAGGCGAUGGGCUCGUCACAGAGCGUCUACGCGUCGAGCGCGCUGAUCGAUCUCUACUCAAGAAAUGGCGAGCUCGACAUGGCGAAGACGGUGUUCGACAACCUCCAGUGCAAGAACGUGGUCACCUGGUGCACCAUGAUGCAGCUGCACAUCAGAGAUAGAAGGCCGGAGGAUACACUGCAGCUGUUCGACGAAAUGAUCUCGGAGGGCCUUGUCGAUCCCAACGAGUUUGCAUUCUCAAUUGUCCUUGGUGCCUGUGAGUCCAUCGCUCUGGGGAGUCAGCUUCACUCCUCAGCCGUCAAGCGUGGCCUGGCAAGCGAUCUCCGGGUGUCGAAUGCCCUGCUCUCCAUGUACGGCAGGAGCGGCCUCGUCCAAGAACUCGAGACCAUGUUCCGUGGCAUCGAGGAUCCAGACAUUGUCAGCUGGACAGCAGCAAUCUCUGCAUACUUCCAGAACGGCCAUGGUGAGAAGGCCAUAGCACUGCUCUCCCAGAUGCACUCACAAGGUCUCACGCCAAACGACUAUGCCUUCUCCAGCGUGCUAAGCUCCUGCGCAGACCUGGCAUUGCUGGACCAAGGGAGGCAGUUCCAUUGCCUGGCCCUGAAGCUAGGAUGCGACAUGAAGACCUGCACCGGGAAUGCGCUGAUCAACAUGUACUCCAAGUGUGGCCAGAUCAUGCCCGCGAGGCUCAUGUUCAACGUCAUGGAUCACCGUGAUGUAACGUCCUGGAACUCGCUGAUCCACGGGUACGCGCAGCAUGGUGAGGUGGACAGGGCGUUGAAGGCGUUCAGCGAGAUGUGUUCCAAUGGCGGUGAGCCCAAUGAGUCGACGCUCUUGGGAAUCCUAGCAGCUUGCAACCACGCCGGGCUGGUGGACGAAGGUGUGGCAUUCUUCAGAUCAGCAAUGGCCGGCCGGUAUGGCGCCUUCCUGACACCCUCACACUAUGCCUGCGUGGUCGACAUGCUGGGCCGUAGUGGCAGGUUCGACGACGCGCUCUGCCUGAUCGAGGAGAUGCCUUUUGAGCCCGGCGUCCUAGUGUGGAAGACGCUGCUGGCGUCAUGCAGGCUGCACGGCAACCUGGAGACGGGGAGGCUCGCCGCCGAAAAGCUCGUGGAGCUCUCAGACCAGGACUCGGCAAGCUACGUGCUGAUGUCUGGCAUACAUGCGAUGCACGGGGAGUGGCGUGACGCCGACAUGGUGCGGCAGGGGAUGGACGAGGCUGGGGUGAGAAAGGAGGCCGGGCGCAGCUGGGUGGAGGUCAGGAACGAGGUGCACGCCUUCGUAGCCCAAGACGCGUCUCACCCAGACUCGUCGUCCAUCUACCGGAUGCUCUGGGAAUUGUCUGAUGCCAUGCGAGAUACAGCCUAUGACGAAGAUGUUGAAUUGUUGGAUGUACAUAUGCAGAUUUAGAUGUGAAAAAAUUAGUGAAUAUCCUACUAGGUUCGUCCAGUUCUGUCAAGGUGUGGCUGUAGCAUGCCUUCUCAAGUACUCCAGGUGUGGCACUACACUAACUAAUCACAUGAACAGAACAGACACUUCGCUACGAGUUACACUGACAGUUUGGACUGUGACUUAAAAGAUUGCCUCGGAACGUCAACCAAAUGAGCUAAUUUCUCUAGAUAGCUGAAGUGAAUGAGGGAAGAAGCUUGUCUUCUCCGAGGAGAGAAUUUUCUUUACAAGUUCUCAAGAAGAUUGGUGAUACAUAUGAUGGAUUUGUCAGUUCAGUGUUCCACUAUGGUGCAUUGGUUCACCUGUGAUUUCCUGAUGGCACUGGCCAUACCUUUGGUCAUUUUUGUUGUAAAUAUUCCAGAGUUUGACAUUAAA